AACGAACGCUGGCGGCAGGCUUAACACAUGCAAGUCGAACGCCCCGCAAGGGGAGUGGCAGACGGGUGAGUAACGCGUGGGAACAUACCCUUUUCUACGGAAUAGCUCUGGGAAACUGGAAUUAAUACCGUAUACGCCCUACGGGGGAAAGAUUUAUCGGGGAAGGAUUGGCCCGCGUUGGAUUAGCUAGUUGGUGGGGUAAAGGCCUACCAAGGCGACGAUCCAUAGCUGGUCUGAGGGGAUGAUCAGCCACAUUGGGACUGAGACACGGCCCAAACUCCGACGGGAGGCAGAAGUGGGGAAUAUUGGACAAUGGGCGCAAGCCUGAUCCAGCCAUGCCGCGUGAGGGAUGAAGGCCUUAGGGUUGUAAAGCUCUUUCACCGAUGAAGAUAAUGACGGUAGUCGGAGAAGAAGCCCCGGCUAACCUCGUGCCAGCCGCCGCGGUAAUAC
rnacentral:rRNA from 1 species